GAGUUUGAUCAUGGCUCAGGACGAACGCUGGCGGCGUGCUUAACACAUGCAAGUCGAACGGUGAUGCGGAGCUUGCUCCGCGGAUCAGUGGCGAACGGGUGAGUAACACGUGAGUAACCUGCCCCUGACUCUGGGAUAAGCGUUGGAAACGACGUCUAAUACCGGAUACGACUCGUGACGGCAUCGUCUGCGGGUGGAAAGAUUUUUUGGUUGGGGAUGGACUCGCGGCCUAUCAGCUUGUUGGUGAGGUAAUGGCUCACCAAGGCGACGACGGGUAGCCGGCCUGAGAGGGUGACCGGCCACACUGGGACUGAGACACGGCCCAGACUCCUACGGGAGGCAGCAGUGGGGAAUAUUGCACAAUGGGCGAAAGCCUGAUGCAGCAACGCCGCGUGAGGGAUGACGGCCUUCGGGUUGUAAACCUCCUUUGGCAGGGAAGAAGCGGAAGCGACGGUACCUGCAGAAAAAGCACCGGCUAACUACGUGCCAGCAGCCGCGGUAAUACG
rnacentral:rRNA from 1 species